GCUGGCGUAGUUCAAUGGCAGAACAGCUGCCCUGUAAGCAGCCCAUCACGGUUCAAGUCCGUGCACCAGCCCCA
rnacentral:tRNA from 1 species